GACGGAGGGUGCAAGCGUUGUUCGGAUUGACUGGGCGUAAAGGGCGUGUAGGCGGUUGGUCAAGUCUGAUGUGAAAGCCCGGGGCUCAGCCCCGGAAGGGCAUCGGAAACUAGCCAGCUGGAGCGCGAUAGAGGAGGGUGGAAUUCCUGGUGUAGCGGUGAAAUGCGUAGAUAUCAGGAGGAACACCUGCGGUGUAGACGGCUUACUGGACCAUAACUGACGCUGAGGCACGAAAGCGUGGGUAGCAAACAGG
rnacentral:rRNA from 1 species